CUGUCGGUAAGGAAAGAAAUAAACAGCAGCAAGCGGGAGGGAAAUGGUGUUGGUCCGGGCUGAGAGGUUUUACAAACAUUUGGUGCACAUCGGAAAAUACAAAUUUGAAACUUACAGUCUCGUUUUUGCAGUCAACGGGAAAAUACCUCAUCUCGCGAUUGACUCGUAUACCCGUGAUUAAUGCCAAAGCCCUGUUGCCUGGGGAGAGGGUGAUGUUUGACUUUCUUGUACAGCUGCAGUUUGUGUGGUGAAGGUGCUCCCACAAUGUGGUUGGGAUGAGGCUGUCACUGGCUCGGCCAGCAUUUAUUGCUGCGUUUACCCAGAGGGCAGUUAAGAGUCAACCACGUUGCUAUAGGUCUGGAGUCCCAUGCAGACCAGACCAGAUCCCAGUGAUCAGUGCCAAAGCCCCAUUGCCUGUGGAGAGGGUGAUGUUUGAUUUCCCUGUCCAGCUGCAGUUCAUGUGGUGAAGGUGCUCCCACAAUGUGGUUGGGUGGACAUUCAGAUGGUAAUCUCAGUAAUUGUAACGCCAAACUGUGACAAAAUUACUCAAUUCAUCAGGAGCUGGAUAUUCACAUUGUGUAUGGAUGUUCUUAAACAUGAUAGGAAGGAGAACAGAAUUCGAUGGAAUAUUGCAAAAGUUGCCGAAUCAAUGUCCAGUACAGCCGCAAUAUGACCUCCCAACCCCUAUACUCAAUGCUCUGACCAAUAAAGACAAGCCGGCCAACCGCCGCCUUCACUAUUCGAUU